AUGAUAUUUUUGCAGCAAUCUGUCUUCAGGAAUGUAAGAAUGGUGGGGAGUGUAUUGGGCCGAGUACCUGUCAUUGUUCUGCACAGUGGGAAGGAAUCCAGUGUCAAACACCUGUGUGCAACCAGAAGUGUCUGUUUGGAGGGAAGUGUGUAUUGCCCAAUGUGUGCUCUUGUCGUCCAGGUUAUACUGGAGUCCUCUGUGGGAAGAAAAUUCAGGUACAAAGAUAUCAUGGUUGAAGAAAUGUGGCAAUUCAAUUGCAAUGCUGCAUGGAUGUAUGAGACUUGAAAAUAGCAAAAGGGUUGAAGGCAUUUAAAGAGUUCAUUUUAAGGAAAAGAAUAUUCAGAAGCCUUAUUUUAAAAGAUGCAUAUUAAUGACAAAUGUUGGUGAGCUUCAAAGCAACAGUCUUGUAGCCAUUAAAACGUAUGUAUAUUCCUGUAAUUUUUUGCUACCUCAUGUACAAACCCCACCCCUCUGAUGUCUUCAUUGAAUUCCCAGAUCUGAUGACUGAGCCCAAAAUUCUACAGUCAAUUGGACUAUGAAAUUUCAGUUGAGGAAACAACACUGUAGUAGCUGUUGGGUAUCUCUAGCAAGGAAGGCAGCACUUCUGCACUUGUGAAUGGUACCUCCUGUUUAUAAACACUGCUUACUUACAUACUAUAUGGCUGCAGACAGAAGGAAAAGCAGAACUGCUUUUUCUUGUUUUGUGUUUACAUUGGUCAUGCUGUAAUAACAGGCCAAUAGCAAGGAAGGAGGGGAAACCAGAACUGAGACUGCUACUAAUGAAGGCAAGGCCUCCUGUCCUAUUAGCAGUCAGAGAGAUGCAGAAUCACUGUGAUUUAUCUAUGACAAGCCUUUGCAGCCAGAAGCCAGAUCCCAACUUUCCUGUUUUGACUUCAUUACUUGCAUUCACUAAUUUGCAGAGCCAGCUACUGAAUUAUUCCUGUGUCUGUAAGACUUCUAUGCCCCUGUCUGAGAUGGCAGUCAGUAAUAUGAGGAAAUUUUGUUCCCAGGACUCUUAGAGAAAUUUUACAAUAAUUUCAGUAAUGCUGAAUCUUAAAAUAGGAACUAAUAAGAGGAGAAAUUUGUUGUACAUCAUGCCAUCCAUACUCAUCAUGUCAGAAAGUAUUUGUAAAGACUUAGCAGAGGGUUUUUUUUCCUAUUGCCUAUUGCUCCAAUGAACUAUUAGCACCUACCAGCUGCCAGAUAGUUUUUGAAAAAAUAAAAUUCCAGUUUUUCUGAAGUUUCCUACAGAGGACUGCUGUCUUCUCCUAGAGCUAUGAAAGACAUUUCAGUUCCUGCCAUAACAAAGUGAGCUCUGGUAAUAGACACAAGCAUCCCAUUAUCUAAGCCGUUGAUGUUUACUGCUUUGCUUUUUUAAGAUGAAAAUAAACAUCAUGACUUCCUAUUUUCCUGAGCAAUAUUCAGUUUAUAUACCCUGAUUUUGAAUAGGAAGAAAAUAGAGGUAAUUUUGCCAUUUACUGCCAUUCUGGGAUGCUGAUUAUCAAAUCAUAGCUGUUAGCUGCUCUGUGCCUUGAUUUCUCCUCACGUUUUGUUGGUCUUCUUAAGUCAUCUUGCAAAGUAAGCUGGCAUUUUGAGAGCUUAGCAUCAUUCCAGAAUGAUACCUCAUGGAUUUCCAAGUGCCUGGCUGGUAUAUUUUAAAAAUGUCCAAUUUCCCACUUGCAUUUUAAAUUUCAGUGUUUCCAUAGUUUCUUUCAAUCAAACGUCCACGUGGUUGAUAGCCUGAUGAUCUGGGAACCAUUACAUUAUUUGAAACCUACUCAUCUUGAACCAUUUCCUUUCCUCCAUCUCACAAAUGUCAGUGAACAAAAUCUGACUAGCUCUUGGAACUGUUUUGGAUACACAAGGUACUGAAAAAGUUUUUAGAGUAUAAACCACCAAUAUCACAUAAUCUCUUAUUGUAAUCACUGCUGUUCCAUGUGUCAGUUACAGAGGUGCUGUGCAAAGAAGAAAGAUAACAUCUCCCUGGAGCACUGCUGUAAUUUGGCUAAUGAGUUUGUGCAAUCCUUCACUCACAAAACUUAAUCAAUGCAUAUAUGUGCAUUUCUAGGAUUUCAGGCACAAUAAAGGAUUUCUUUACUAUAAUUGUUAGUGUUUGCUGUUUAUUUUCAAUGGUUUUAAAGGCAGAAAUUAUUUCUUUUACAUUUUCCAAAUGCAAGCUGUGUGAACAAAAGCAAUCCAGAGUUCUGCUAUAGUGGCUAAAAAUGCUCAGUGCUAAGCUGUGCUGUUUUUGCUAUUUUUCAGCAAGCACAUGGUGCAGAAAAAUUACUUGUACUUGCAAAAUGCCAGACAUCUACUUCAAAACUGCCCAGUAAUUAUGUGAUUGGUUGAAACUGUUUUGUUACUACAUUGUCCAUCAUACACAUGAAACAGAAUUCACUGUAAUUAGAAAGCACAUGGCAACAAUACAGUAAAAUUGCUCAGUGUAACAAGAUGUGGAUUUAUAUAGAGGGCUUGUGUAUAGAGGUUAAUAGAACUGCUAAAAUUGUAACCUGAAAUUAGGCCUAAAAGAGUCAGGGGAUAUGGAAGUGGGAAGAGGGGUUGGAAUUGAAGUAAUGAAGGACAACUUGUAUCAAACAGAAGAUUUUGCAGUGAUUCUUACCACAUUAUGUACAACACUGAUAUCUUUGUUGAAUUUUCUUGCAUGAUUUUUUAGACACUAAAGAGUGCUGGAAGGUACCUAGGUACAUCGUCCAUUUAUUACCUGGUUGUACUACAGUUGCUCUGCAGGCUAACAGAAAUUCUCCCAAGUACACAUUGAUUUUUGCCCCUGAUCUUGAAAAGAUCUUUUAAAAUGCAGUGUAGUGAGUGUUCUCUGAAGGAAGGGCUUGUAUCAC
rnacentral:lncRNA from 1 species